AGUCGCGUAGCUCAGCUGGUUAGAGCACCACCUUGACAUGGUGGGGGUCGAUGGUUCGAGUCCAUUCGCGACUA
rfam:Methylophilus sp. Leaf416 contig_1, whole genome shotgun sequence.